rnacentral:lncRNA from 1 species
CAGACACUAACUGAGCACAUUGUCUGGACUGUAAGAACCUUAAGAGUCGAUCAAUCAUGAAGAGAUAAAAUCCCGGAAGCAUAUAGCAGAAAUAAUUGAAGCCAAGAUGAAAGACAAAGAAGAUAAUGAAGAAAAUGUAGAGGUAGUGUGUGUAAAAGAAGAGCUCAAACAUUUUUCGCCUAAUGCGAGGAAAUGUUGUCACCCAUAGCCCUAAUCCGAAGAGCAAGGAAAUCUCCCCAGCUACAUUCGAUGCACCUAUUUUCCUCCAUUCCAGCAUCUGCAUUCAGUCCAAUGAAUAGUUAAAAUGAAAGAAGAUUUGCAUGGCCAUAACCAGAUGUGAGAUGCCAAUUACUUUCAAUACUAUGUAGCUUUUCAAAACUCUUAGUACAAAUUUACAAUUACCAGUUGAAAUAGUAGCAUUAUAUGAAUAGAAAUAAAUUACUGUUCUGCCAGACAUGACUUUGGAUCAUUCGUAUCUUGGAUAUGAAGUCUUUACAGAUUUGGCAAUUUCUAAACUUACCUUAUUAAACAAAUACUACAAGGGUUUUGGUCCCUGGCAUUCGACUGCCGGGACCGUUUAUAUGACAUAUCAUUCCUAAACUGUUGGAUGAACAGCGGCCUGGAUUAUAACAAAAUUCUAAUACGUUCAAGCUUUUUAAAAGAACGGGACAUAUUAAAAAUAAUGUUAUAAUCCUGGUUGCUGGAUAUUUAUCUAACGAUUAAAAAUGAUAUGCCAGUUAAGCAGUCUACGAUGCAAGGUGCAGGAUCAGUUAUAUAAAUUAUAACAUUAGUUGCAUAUAUUAUGCAAAAAAGAAAAUUUUAGAAAUUAUUAUUAUGAAUAUAUAGUCAAACCACUCUGAAAUGUGUGUAAAAAAAUUAAACCUUAAAAUUCAUAAGGCUUAACAUUGAAUAUAACAACACGACCGAACAAUUGGCUAAUGUUUUCAAAGUUGGCUGGAGAAAAAAGCUGAAGACUAAAGCCAGAGGAGACAAGAACAAAACGAUACGAAAGAAAUACCAAGUUGUGAAUGACAUUGUGAAGCACAUCACAAUCCACUUUUGUAAAUUUGGCAUUUCUCUAUACUAUGACACUCUGAACUUUGAUUCUUUGAAGAUAAAAUUUUCACAGCCAUCCAUUUCUCAUCACCAACAACCAAAUCAAGAUUCCAAUAGUACUUACCUUGGAUACUAAACGAUCCGUGAGAGCCCAGUAGACGAUGUAAAACAGGCCAUGAGCGGUGAAAAGGAACAUGGUCAUGUGUCCAAGCCAGAUAUGAUACUUGAUGCUGGCCUCUGAGGUCAGUCCCAGAAGGGGCAACACUGAUGAAGUUCGCGUAACCGGGAAGAAUAGAAAUAACAGACAUAUGUUGCCAAUAAUCCCCAGAGUAAAGCCUAUUAUGCUCAGUGUAGACUUCCAUCUGUCAUAACAUUACAUGCAAGUAACACAUCUUGUAACAGGAGAUAUUUACUAGUAAAAACCAACAAUCUCGAAUAAAUACCUCUUCUCAUUCUCUGAUUCUAUGAAAAAGGCCAUGUGCUGGAAGAAGUAAUGCAUGUAAGCGGAGAAGGUCCAGACUAGGAGGGCAAUGAACAUCACCAAAAUAGAGAUCUCUGUCCACGAAACGAUCCCGAGCCAUUUCAUAAUCACCGGCCUCUUCCAUGAACUCAAUAUCGACUUGCUGCAAAAACCACUUGGUAAAAAGUAAAAACACUUCUGCAAUGUCAUAUGUGUGUGCAUAGAGCCAGAGGAUCAGAAAAAAUACCUUUUUAUCUCGCGACUUUCAGCACCAUCUUUGUAUUUGAUUCCCAAAUGAAGAUACAGAGAGCCUAAAACAGAGAUAACCAACAUGGGAAAUGUGUCCAUAAGAAUUGUUGUACCUGCAAAAUCAUGGGGAAGAGUUAGAUACUCGAAUUACAGGGAGUUGAUGAAAUUAAGUUGAAAACUACUAAACCUUGUGCUCCAAAGAAACUGGAAUUUGUAUGAGCUCGAAUUUUGGGCUCAAAAUGUGAUAUAUAAGUGGAGCUUGGCUUCAUGAUUAGCAUGAAGAUAUACCCAACAAAGAUGAUUAUUACUAGUCCUAAUAUAGAUGUUCGAAGCACUCUUAUUUUGCCAUUUGAACUAGAAACAGAAGCUACCGGUUUCUCCUCCAUGAGACCUCUUUCUCUGCCUACUAGCUCUAGUACUCUGUAUGAGUGUCUGAAAUUUUAUGAAAUACUGUAUUUAUUUAACGCAGAUGUGAAAUAGAUUCAUAAAUUUUCGAAAAUUAACUAUUUUAUGUAUAAAAACAAGUAUUUAUUUUUAGAAAAAACAAGUAUAUUAUUGUAAGAGGUAUGCGAAUACAAAAUUUGGACAAUAGACUAAUUGAGUCUGUUGAGAGACACGGUUUUUGCUAUGUAAUAAUUGUCAUCUUGUUAGUGACGAUGAAUAUCUUAGAUAAAAUUUUAUUAAUGAAAAAAAGGGAAGAUAUUUAUUUUAUAUUCUUUUCAUAUUUUUAUUAUACGCGGUUUUCAUUUUGACACGUAGAUGGCUUGAUCAUAUAGAAGCUAUUUUGAUUAAUUUCCUUUUGAUAAAUUAAAUUUGAAUUAUAAUUUCAUUUAAAAAUUAAUAUUUUUUUCAACGAAAAAGCGAUGAAUUUAAUAAAUAAUGUGACAUAAGUCAAAACAUCAUGCAUUCAAAAAAAUGAAUUAUCUAUCCAAGUCAUUUUAUUUUUUUGUCCAAGUCGCUCUUGUUUCAAAAAGAGUAUUAGAGCUUUGAAGUCCUUCCGAUUGAUUAAUCAAAAAGUAGAAUAACAAUAUGAUUCAGUUGGGCAUUGAGAUGAGAGGGGGAGACAUUAUUACUAUACAGGAAAACGCUAACUUUAACUAUAACAGUUAACGAUGAUGGUGGAUCACCAACUAAAACUUAUGGAUUCAAAAUGUAAAUUUUUUGCCAAGCUUGAUGAACAUAUGUUUGCCACUUGGUGGCGCAUACUCUUCGGACCACAUACCAGAACACCAACGCUUGCUUCUUCAUGUUCCAUUAAAAUUCCUGCAACAGACUCAAAAUUUUAUCAUCAAACCUAACCAAAUCUGAAAUACCAUGUACUCUGUCCGUCCUUUUCAAUUGUUUACACUGGGGAAUGGGGCUAAGGAAGCACUCUAAUUCUCUCAUAAAUUAUAACUUGAUAAAUUAUUUUUAACUUUUUUUUUUUUUUGAAUAAAAGUUUAGUGUUUAAAUUUCCACAAAAAAAAUUGAAAAUAAGUUAUGAAACUAUAUAUUUUACAGCGUUAAAAUGCGUGUCAAAAAAACUGUAAAGAAAUUAGAGGGACGAGAGUAUAUGUAAGAUAGCCAAAUGCGCUCUGAUAAGCUCAGGGAAUGUGAAAAUAACUUACCCCUAAGAUCAGGCCUUCGACCAUAAUGCACAUUCUUAGUUUCCAACAGGGACUGGUAAGGAAGACUUUCGAGUUCUCUAUCAAUAGGAGUGUCAACCCAUGAAUUAUGCUUUAAUGGUGACAAUUCUAUAACCUUCUUAACCUGGUUGGUUUUUAUGGAACUUUGUUUCUUGUUCCAGAGAAAAGCUGCAGAGGCUGUCACGAGUAUAGAUAUGCACAUGAGUAGCAUAUUCAACACAGACCUUAAUGAGUUUGAGAACACCUUAUUAGUAUUGUGAUCUAUAGGAUAUAUGUAGAAGCGCGUAAGAAAUCCCAUGGUAAGAAGGAAGAUUAUAAACGAUGAUGAUGUUAUGACUCCGAGCCAUAACCAACUGUAUUGGCCUAAAGUUGUGGAUAUUGGUGCAUCAAGGGUGUUUGACUUGAACCAUAUUGUUUGCAGGGGUUUUGGGCUUUCUGUAGGUGGUUCCAUCUCUCGGGUCACGUAUGCCUCUACCUGUAGUUCCAGAUUAGAAUAUCUGGAUGAGGCAUUUGAAAUUGGAAGAAUGAGGUUUAGCAUAGUGAGCUCUGAGGAAUUCUUGAAUGCACUAAUGAGGAGAAUGCGAGGAGGUCUGCAUUUUUUAGUUGAGUUCAUGAAGAGUAGUUCAUGGAUUAUAGAAAUGAAUGGCGCUAUGCCACUGCCUCCAGUAACCAUAAUUAGUUUAUCAUGCCUGCAAUUAUCAUGACUAAUCAAUCACAAAGUAUAAUUUGAUUUCAUAACAUUAUAUAUACUUUGGUACCUCAGAAAGUGAGUUGAAGCAGGUCCAUAAGGGCCUUCAACAGAGAUUUGAAGAUGCUCAAUGGGAAAUGGUGAAGCAAGCUUCUGGUAAAGCUUCCGAGUCCAACUUCCUUCACUUUUAAUAAUAACACUAAGAAUCUCAGGUUCCAAAUGACUGCUGGAACUAAUUGUAUAAGGAUGCCACUGCAGCUUGGAAAUGCUGGGAACAUUAAUAAAUAUGAUGCUUGUUGGAGUGUAACUCAAUCCUGGAAGACAAAAACAUACAUCACGUAAAAACAUUUCAAGUAAAAUUCUAAAAUUUGGGCAAAUGGUUGAGGAGUCACCUUGAUCUUUGGAGAAGUUGAGCUCAACAGUCUCACAAGGCAGGACGCGAGCGGAGACUAACUGGGCACAUUGUCUGGAUUGUAGGAACCUCAAGAAACGAUCAACCAUGAAGAGAUAGAAACCGGGAAGCAUAUAGCAAAAAUAGUUGAAGCCAAGAUGAAAAAUGAAGAAGACAAUGAAUAAAAUGUAGAGGUAGUGUGUGUAAAAGAAGAGCUCAAACAUUUUUCGCCUAAUGCGAGGAAAUGUUGUCACCCAUAGCGCUAAUCCAAACAACAAAGAAAUCUCCCCAGCCACAUUUGAUACAUGUGUUUUUUUCCAUUCCAGAAUCUG